GAAAUAAAUUAAUUAAAGCUUCUAACUUUAAAUAUAAUGUCUAAAUAACAUUAUUAUUUCA
rnacentral:tRNA from 1 species